UGCAUUAAAUCUAUAGCAUGCACAAAUGAUGAUUAACUAGUGAAAUAAUCUGCGCGAUACGACAGGUAGAUAAUUAAAAAAAAGUAUGAAAAAAAAAAGAACAUAGGAAUAUAGAUAUUCCAUAAUUGUUGAGAAUAGCAUAGCUGGUGAUGGCAUCAUGAGUCGUUUUUGUCAGGAACGCAUGAGGAGCAGCGAAUGGGGGUCGGAGGGCUCCGAGUGGUGAGCGACAAAAAAGGGGAGAGAAAGGAAAAUCUAAAAUCAUACGUUGAAAGAUCUAUAACAGCUCUGUAAGUAAGGUAAGGGAAGAGAGAGAGACACCUUUGUUGGUUAGGAGAUUAAAAAAAAAAAAAAAGAGUUGGGAGGAAAAAAGGAAGAGAGAAAGAGGGUUGAAAAAAAUGGUUGUGAGAAAGAAAAUAGUUUUUCUAAAAUAAAAAGAAUAAAAAAAUUAAAAAUAAUAGUGGGUCCCACCACCCUCAAAUAAAGGUGGUACAUCCAUGUGGAUUUAGCCAUAAAAAUUCAUGUAUAUAGGUAUCUUUACGGGUUACACAAAAAUUGCAUUGGAGGGAGAAUCCUAAACCUAAUGUUAGGUAAUACCUAUUGUUUUUUAUUUUUUUAGAAUUUUUCAUUUGGAGUAAGUUUUUAAAAUUAGAAAUAUAAAUUUGAGAGUUUUAAAUAAAAAUUAUAUUUAUUUAUUUUAAUGUAAUUUUUAAAUUUUCAGGAUUUGUUUAGAAUUAAAAUUAGGUUUGGUUUAUUAU
rnacentral:lncRNA from 1 species